AUUGAACGCUGGCGGCAGGCCUAACACAUGCAAGUCGAAUGGUAACAGGAAACAGCUUGCUGUUUCGCUGACGAGUGGCGGACGGGUGAGUAAUGUCUGGGAAACUGCCUGAUGGAGGGGGAUAACUACUGGAAACGGUAGCUAAUACCGCAUAACGUCGCAAGACCAAAGAGGGGGACCUUCGGGCCUCUUGCCAUCAGAUGUGCCCAGAUGGGAUUAGCUAGUAGGUGGGGUAACGGCUCACCUAGGCGACGAUCCCUAGCUGGUCUGAGAGGAUGACCAGCCACACUGGAACUGAGAUACGGUCCAGACUCCUACGGGAGGCAGCAGUGGGGAAUAUUGCACAAUGGGCGCAAGCCUGAUGCAGCCAUGCCGCGUGUAUGAAGAAGGCCUUCGGGUUGUAAAGUACUUUCAGCGGGGAGGAAGGGAGUAAAGUUAAUACCUUGGCUCAUUGACGUUACCCGCAGAAGAAGCACCGGCUAACUCCGUG
rnacentral:rRNA from 1 species